GCUCUGACCUUCCUGCUGUGCUGCACAACAAACCAAGACAUCGUCUAAACAUGGAGAGUUGGUGGACCCACUGCAGACCUGCCAAGACAAGAAGGUCCACUUAAACUGGCAGGGAAGGAGGACAUUAAUCUGAGAAACAGCCAUGAGGUAUCCCUAGAAGAGUUGCAGAGAUCCACAGCUCAGGAGGAAGAAUCUGUGGACAUGAUAGCUAUUCAUUGUUAACUCAAAUCUGGCCAUUUUUGGACCAGAGGCAAAAAGGAACCCAUUGUUAAAAAAAACGCUCAGAACCGGCCAUGUAGGUGACGACGCAAACGUGCAGAUAUGUGUUGUGCUCAGAUCGGAUUAAAAGUGACCUUUUUAUCCUUUGUGUAAAAGACUGUGUGGGGGAAAACUAACAAUGAACAUCAACAUACCAUCCCCAGGGAGAAACAUGGUGGUGACAGCAUCAUGCUGUGGGGAUGCUUUCCUUCAGCAGGGAGAGGGAGGCUGGUUAGGGGUAAUGAGAAGAUGGAUGGAGCAAAAUACCAGGGAGUCCUGGAAUAAGACUUGAGACUGGGGUGGAGGUUCACUUUCAAGCAAGACAGCAAAUCUAAAUACAUAUUCAUGUGUUAGAAUAUCCUAGUCAAAGUUCAGACCUUACUGAAACAGAGAAUCUGUGGUGAGACCUAAAAACUAUUGGGGGGAAUGGUGCCUAUUUCCGGCACUCUUUGGGCAACAGGGACCCUGAACAGAUCACCAGUUCAUCGCAGGGCAACACAGAGAGACAAAAGACCAACAACCAUGCAAACACACACUCAUACUGAAAGGCAAUUUAGAGAAACUUUUAACCUAACUGUCAUGCUACUGGACUGUGGGAAGAAGCCGGUGUACCUGGAGAGAACCCCUGCACAGGUAGAGGGAGAACAUGCAAACUCCAAAAAGACCCCAGACCUGGGUUCAAACCCAGGACCUUCUCCUUGCAAGAGAACAGAGAAAUAAACAGUGUUACUUUUUCAGUAAUGGAAAUAAGUUUGUCACAGCUAGAAGUUUUCUGUGCUCAGAAUCAGCGCCCCCUACUGGCAGGCAUUACAGCAUUACAAUUGGACUCUCAGAGGCUGAGCAGGUGCAGAUUUUCAAUCAAGUAUGUUUUUAGGUACCUGGUGGUGUGUAGAUUAGUGCAAGAGAAUAUAGUCUGUGGGAAAAUAUAUUAACAAAUAUAAUAAAAAAUAAAACAAUGUAAAAAAUGUUUCAACAUUUAUUGGCAAUUAAUCCAUUCCCACUUUUAUUUAUGAAAAUGUGUCUUUUUAAUCUACUACAAUAAUGUCUGUGUUUUCAUUCUUGUUUAUUUGAUUUAAAGUAAACUUGGAGCUUUAGGUUGGACCUGUAAAAGGGACGAAUGUAGCGUGUAUUAUGCUUCAGGGGAGUUCAUGUGAUGGUUUCAUCAGAAAUGAUGUCCAAACUUAGACACAUGGACAAGAAACUACACCUCAGUGACACAUGAGGGGGCGGGGCUUCACUCACUAUAAACUGGUCAGAGCUGAUCUCAGAUCCCCAGUAGCAGGAUGGAGGAAACAGCUCCACUGAGGUUGCUCUCUGGAGUGUUG